AGUGAACGCUGGCGGUAGGCCUAACACAUGCAAGUCGAACGGCAGCACAGUAAGAGCUUGCUCUUACGGGUGGCGAGUGGCGGACGGGUGAGGAAUACAUCGGAAUCUACUUUUUCGUGGGGGAUAACGUAGGGAAACUUACGCUAAUACCGCAUACGACCUACGGGUGAAAGCAGGGGAUCUUCGGACCUUGCGCGAUUGAAUGAGCCGAUGUCGGAUUAGCUAGUUGGCGGGGUAAAGGCCCACCAAGGCGGCGAUCCGUAGCUGGUCUGAGUGGAUGGUCACCCACACUGGAACUGAGACACGGUCCAGACUCCUACGGGAGGCAGCAGUGGGGAAUAUUGGACAAUGGGGGAAAGCCUGAUCCAGCCAUACCGCGUGGGUGAAGAAGGCCUUCGGGUUGUAAAGCCCUUUUGUUGGGAAAGAAAAGCAGCAGGUUAAUACCCCGCUGUUCUGACGGUACCCAAAGAAUAAGCACCGGCUAACUUCGUG
rnacentral:rRNA from 1 species